rnacentral:rRNA from 1 species
AAAGCGCCUGUAGGUUGUUUAUUAAGUCUGUUGUUAAAGACUAGGGCUUAACCCUAGAAAAGCAAUGGAAACUAAUAGACUAGAGUAUGGCAGGGGUAGAGGGAAUUUCUAGUGUAGCGGUGAAAUGCGUAGAUAUUAGAAAGAACACCGGUGGCGAAAGCGCUCUACUGGACCAUUACUGACACUCAGAGGCGAAAGCUAGGGUAGCAAAAGGGAUUAGAUACCCCUGUAGUCCUAGCCGUAAACGAUGGAUACUAGAUGUUGUGCAUUAUGUACAGUAUCGUAGCUAACGCGUUAAGUAUCCCGCCUGGGGAGUACGCUCGCAAGGGUGAAACUCAAAGGAAUUGACGGGGGCCCGCACAAGCGGUGGAGCAUGUGGUUUAAUUCGAUGCAACGCGAAGAACCUUACCAGGGCUUGACAUACUACGAAUUCUUUUGAAAGAGAGAAGUGCCUUCGGGAAUGUAGAUACAGGUGGUGCAUGGCUGUCGUCAGCUCGUGUCGUGAGAUGUUGGGUUAAGUCCCGCAACGAGCGCAACCCUUAUUUUUAGUUACCAAUUCGUUGGGUUUUUUAGAAAGACUGCCGGUGACAAACCGGAGGAAGGUGAGGAUGACGUCAAGUCAGCAUGCCCCUUAUGUCCUGGGCUACACACGUGCUACA